GAUGAACGCUGGCGGCGUGCCUAAUACAUGCAAGUCGAGCGAACGGACGAGAAGCUUGCUUUUCUGAUGUUAGCGGCGGACGGGUGAGUAACACGUGGAUAACCUACCUAUAAGACUGGGAUAACUUCGGGAAACCGGAGCUAAUACCGGAUAAUAUUUUGAACCGCAUGGUUCAAAAGUGAAAGACGGUCUUGCUGUCACUUAUAGAUGGAUCCGCGCUGCAUUAGCUAGUUGGUAAGGUAACGGCUUACCAAGGCAACGAUGCAUAGCCGACCUGAGAGGGUGAUCGGCCACACUGGAACUGAGACACGGUCCAGACUCCUACGGGAGGCAGCAGUAGGGAAUCUUCCGCAAUGGGCGAAAGCCUGACGGAGCAACGCCGCGUGAGUGAUGAAGGUCUUCGGAUCGUAAAACUCUGUUAUUAGGGAAGAACAUAUGUGUAAGUAACUGUGCACAUCUUGACGGUACCUAAUCAGAAAGCCACGGGUAACUACGUG
rnacentral:rRNA from 1 species